rnacentral:lncRNA from 1 species
GGAAGCUGGGACGCAGCAGCCGGGAGGUGUGCUGAGAGCGCAGCAGGAGCUGGGGACCUGGCGUCCAGCUGGGGAGCGAUGCUCACAGGGCUCCCAAAGCCGCAGCUGGGUAAGUGCUCGCCUCUCCUCACGGCUGUGUGCUUUACUGAGCUCCAUAGCUGCACAUCUCCUUCCUCACUGCAAAACAUACAUUUCCUCAUUUCAGCUUGUGAGGGCCCAGACCAACAUCCCAGCCCCAGGGGCUGCUCUGGCAGGAGCAGCAGCUGUGCCAGCUGCCCCAGGCUACACAAGAGGCUGCUGAAAUCCAGCAUUUGUUUUCAGAUAUACAUUGAUGCUUUUUAA